rnacentral:lncRNA from 1 species
UUUAAACCUUUGGAAUGUGUUUUUCCAAGCACUAGUACCAGCAUCUAAGUCUACCUCCGCAGCAAAUUCUGGUCAGUAUUUGAUUAAUUGUUUGGCUCACAGGUUGAUUAGUCAGCCUCUGCUACAGGUGCUGCAAAGGGAAAUUAUGUCUAGCAUAAGACACAAUCUCUGACAUUGAAGAACUUACAAUUGAAUUGAGGAAAUAACAUAUCUCCGGACAACUUAACAAGGCAGCUGCUUCCAUCUCCAUGUCAACUUCAUUCUUUCUUACUGCAGAUCAUCUGUCAAUUCAUAGUUCAUAUCAGGACCACCAUCAACUCUUACAUGCCAUAUGCAACACAGAGGAGACAUUCCUAUUUUUCUACAUCCUUUCUAAAAAGCACUGGUAAAGAAUCCUGAUAGUCACAAUUAGAUGUUUACCCACAGAUUAUUAGUUCUGUAUAUGAAGAUGCAGUUGGCCAAUAUAGAUAUGAUCACUGAGACUCCAUUCGUUUGUUUGUUUGUUUGUUUAUUUAUUUAUUUAUUUAUUUAUUUAUACUUUAAGUUCUAGGGUACAUGUGCACAAUGUGCAGGUUUGGAGACCCCAUUCUUUAGUUUCAGGAUGAUUUCACAAAAGCAUGGAUCAUGACUUUGACAACUACUUAUUGCCUCCUUAGGGCAACUAUGGCUAAAAUACAAAAAGUAUUUACACAUACAUUAUAAAUAUGCAUAUGUAUGCAAACUAAAAUCAAUGAAGGGAUGAUAGGUAACAAAGAUGGGGACAUUUACUUUAACUUAAUAUUCUUAACUUUAGGAUAUUGAGGAUAUUGUUUGAAGUGGCCACAUAGCUACUGAUAAAAUUAUUUUUGGCUGAAUAAAAGUUAAUACAUACUUAAACUUUUUAUGUUGCAUUAAGUGACAUAAAUUCUGCAACAUAAUGGGAGAAAAUUUAUUUUAAUACGAUUAGGUCACAUUUGAAAUGUGUCACUUUAAGUUAGUAUAGUCAAACUCUGGAAAAUCUAUCAAACAAAUAUCAGCAAGGUGAAGAGAAAUCAUGAUGGGAAAAUGAGUUUCCCAUGAGGGAUGCCAAAACAAUAGCCAUUUACCCUUUUAGCACUGCUAAAUAAAUAUUUGCCAAACUCACAGAUGAGCUGAAUAGCUUUAACAAUAGCAGCUGUACUUUCAUCUGUUUGUUCACAUUUGAUAUAACAUUCUAUCAAAAUUGCUUUCAAAGUUUAAAAAUUACAGCAUUAAAUGACUCUGAGAUCUUUUCAACCCUAAGAUUUACUUAUUGCCUCUUUAGGGCAACUAUAGCUACAACCUAUAUGUCUCAGUUCUAAGUAAAAUUGACAUGAAUAAUUAUUUAAUUUUACUGUU